GAAUUCGCCCUUAGAGUUUGAUCCUGGCUCAGGACGAACGCUGGCGGCGCGCCUAACACAUGCAAGUCGAACGAGCGAGAGAGAGCUUGCUUUCUCGAGCGAGUGGCGAACGGGUGAGUAACGCGUGAGGAACCUGCCUCAAAGAGGGGGACAACAGUUGGAAACGACCGCUAAUACCGCAUAAGCCCACGGCUCGGCAUCGAGCAGAGGGAAAAGGAGCAAUCCGCUUUGAGAUGGCCUCGCGUCCGAUUAGCUAGUUGGUGAGGUAACGGCCCACCAAGGCGACGAUCGGUAGCCGGACUGAGAGGUUGAACGGCCACAUUGGGACUGAGACACGGCCCAGACUCCUACGGGAGGCAGCAGUGGGGAAUAUUGCACAAUGGGGGAAACCCUGAUGCAGCGACGCCGCGUGGAGGAAGAAGGUCUUCGGAUUGUAAACUCCUGUUGUUGAGGAAGAUAAUGACGGUACUCAACAAGGAAGUGACGGCUAACUACGUGCCAGCAGCCGCGGUAAAACGUAGGUCACAAGCGUUGUCCGGAAUUACUGGGUGUAAAGGGAGCGCAGGCGGGAAGACAAGUUGGAAGUGAAAUCCAUGGGCUCAACCCAUGAACUGUUUUCAAAACUGUUUUUCUUGAGUAGUGCAGAGGUAGGCGGAAUUCCCGGUGUAGCGGUGGAAUGCGUAGAUAUCGGGAGGAACACCAGUGGCGAAGGCGGCCUACUGGGCACCAACUGACGCUGAGGCUCGAAAGUGUGGGUAGCAAACAGGAUUAGAUACCCUGGUAGUCCACACUGUAAACGAUGAUUACUAGGUGUUGGAGGAUUGACCCCUUCAGUGCCGCAGUUAACACAAUAAGUAAUCCACCUGGGGAGUACGACCGCAAGGUUGAAACUCAAAGGAAUUGACGGGGGCCCGCACAAGCAGUGGAGUAUGUGGUUUAAUUCGACGCAACGCGAAGAACCUUACCAAGUCUUGACAUCCUGCGACGCACAUAGAAAUAUGUGUUUCCUUCGGGACGCAGAGACAGGUGGUGCAUGGUUGUCGUCAGCUCGUGUCGUGAGAUGUUGGGUUAAGUCCCGCAACGAGCGCAACCCUUAUGGUCAGUUACUACGCAAGAGGACUCUGGCCAGACUGCCGUUGACAAAACGGAGGAAGGCGGGGAUGACGUCAAAUCAUCAUGCCCUUUAUGACUUGGGCUACACACGUACUACAAUGGCGUUAAACAAAGAGAAGCAAGACCGCGAGGUGGAGCAAAACUCAGAAACAACGUCCCAGUUCGGACUGCAGGCUGCAACUCGCCUGCACGAAGUCGGAAUUGCUAGUAAUCGCAGAUCAGCAUGCUGCGGUGAAUACGUUCCCGGGCCUUGCACACACCGCCCGUCA
rnacentral:rRNA from 1 species